UACGGAGGAUGCAAGCGUUAUCCGGAUUUAUUGGGUUUAAAGGGUGCGUAGGCGGAUAUGUAAGUCAGCGGUGAAACUCACAGGCUCAACCUGUGCCGUGCCGUUGAAACUGUGUAUCUGGAAUGCGGAUGCUGUGGGAGGAAUGUGUAGUGUAGCGGUGAAAUGCAUAGAUAUUACACAGAACACCGAUUGCGAAGGCAGCUUACUAAUCCAUCAUUGACGCUGAGGCACGAAAGCGUGGGGGAU
rnacentral:rRNA from 1 species